rnacentral:rRNA from 1 species
AAGCAAAAACUACACAUGCAAGUCGAACGGUAGCAGCCAAGCAGCUUGCUGCUUCGCUGACGAGUGGCGGACGGGUGAGUAAUGUCUGGGAAACUGCCCGGUGGAGGGGGAUAACUACUGGAAACGGUAGCUAAUACCGCAUAACGUCGCAAGACCAAAGAGGGGGACCUUCGGGCCUCUUGCCACCGGAUGUGCCCAGAUGGGAUUAGCUUGUUGGUGAGGUAACGGCUCACCAAGGCGACGAUCCCUAGCUGGUCUGAGAGGAUGACCAGCCACACUGGAACUGAGACACGGUCCAGACUCCUACGGGAGGCAGCAGUGGGGAAUAUUGCACAAUGGGCGCAAGCCUGAUGCAGCCAUGCCGCGUGUAUGAAGAAGGCCUUCGG